ACGCUCGACACCUACGGGAGCAGCAGUAGGGAAUCUUCCACAAUGGGACGCAAGUCUGAUGGAGCAACGCCGCGUGAGUGAAGAAGGUCUUCGGAUCGUAAAACUCUGUUGUUAGAGAAGAACACGAGUGAGAGUAACUGUUCAUUCGAUGACGGUAUCUAACCAGCAAGUCACGGCUAACUACGUGCCGGCAGCCGCGGUAAUCUGAGCGGGCUGGCAAGGC
rnacentral:rRNA from 1 species